CUCACAAAUACAGACACAAAUGGCUGCACAUUCAUGGAAACACAAGUACACACUCAUACACAUUCAGGAAUACAUGCGGGUACACUCGCAGAUACAUGUAGGUAGGGUUAAAAAAAAAACGAAAUUCUUACGUCAUUAGUCUACUUUAUACAUGGAUUUCUUGAAUUUUUUGUCUGCUGUAUACAACAGCUUUGAAACACAACUCGGGAAGAGGUAGGAUAGUGCUGUUGACUUGAGG